CAGAGAGAUGCUGGGGCCAGCAGAUAUGGAGAAGCUGCCCCAGGAAGAUAAGGGCACUGGGGCUGUUCUUGGACCAGUGGCUUUGUUGUCCAAUCCAGGAAUAUAGGAAGAGGAGAGCUGCAUGGCUUCAGGAGAAUCUCCACCUUAGAUCUGUUUGCUCUUCCGGACAAUGAAAGAAAUGAUCGUGUCUCUCAUGCAAGACUGUUGAAAACUGGUGACUCUCUCUGAAGUACAGCUUUAAUAUCUGCAGAGUAACUUUCCUCUUUGUGCGACUGAGGAUUGGAAUCGGUGCUCAUUAGAGGCAUGUCUUUGCUCUCUCCUCGAUUCCCUCCCAAUCCCUUCUGUUUUGGCCCAUGGAAUGCAAGAGCCACAGAAAACACACCUACCUAACUAGGAGGAUUCCUGAACCUCAUGUUUCUGGACGGUGGUGGCACAUGCCACAUUCCCUACUUCAAUGUAUCUUCAGUGGAGUGGAGACUACUACACAGCAAAGGCUGGCCCAAGGCAGAGUGGUGCAGAAUUCAGAGGAACAGUUUAAGCAUCUGGCUUCUUCCUGGAACAGAGAAGACCCUGCCCUCCCCACCCAGUGCCAGGAUUGUAUCUUAUGUAUUUUGACUCUCCUAUAAUGCCUUGUGGUGAGCACGUGGUCCUCACAAUGCUUGAUGAGUAGAUAAAAGGUGAAUUGCUUGUUAAAGUCCCUGAGAAGGACUUGGGGACAGUGAAGAAAAUGUGAAAGAGGAGGGAGAAAAAAAACAGGAAAGGGGUAGGAGCUGAGAAGGGACCUUUCCAUUUUUAUUGCAAAGAGGAUCUGGGGAGACAGAAUAAGGGGAGAGCUUGGAAAGAGGGGGAAUAAGGGUAGCAGGGGUCAGGCUGGGGACAAAGGGCUCUGGGUGGCCUGGCUGAUGUGACUUCCCUGAACUCUGGGUGGCUGAGUGGGUGAGGAAUGGAGCUGUCAGCACCUGGGAAGCCUCGGGACUCCCAGGUAGAGUGAGUUUGUAGAGUGGGAGAGCAUGUCUUACAGGGUGGUUGCCUGGCCAAGGCUAUGGCAUGUAUCCAGCGAGUCAGAAGCUGAGCAGUGAAUAUCUCUUCUAGAGUUGCGAAGUACCCACCUCUCAUGUUUGCCAGGCUUUUGCAAGUUAUGCAUUCUAACUGUAAAGUUGCCAACUGGAGGCAUCCCACCACCAGCAGUCACUAUUGCUCCCUUUGAUGGACUAGGAAUUCAGGGUGCCAUUGAGAGAGGGGCGUGAUAUAUACUCCUCCAUUGGCUAAGAAGGAAACGAGGUCUAGAUCUUGAAGAAUGAUCUUCAAGAAUGAGUCCCAUCUGAGGAGAAAGUCAAGGGGGACAUAGGACACGAGCAAAGGAACAUGGUUCAUGUGGUCACAAGCACAGGAAUCCCUGCUAACACGUGGCAAACAGCUUACUUGCUGGGUGCUGCUCAGAGGGCCUUGCAUGCUGAACUCCAUCAAUUCUCACAGCAACAUAGUCUGCCUGUGCUUUAGGGAUCUCUUUUCUUUUCUUUUCUUUUCUUUUCUUUUCUUUUCUUUUCUUUUCUUUUCUUUUCUUUUCUUUUCUUUCUUUCUUUUUUUUUCUUCUUCGAGACAGGGUUUCUCUGUAUAGCCCUGGCUGUCCUGGAACUCACUUUGUAGACCAGGCUGGCCUUGAACUCAGAAAUCCGCCUGCCUCUGCCUCCCAAGUGCUGGGAUCAAAGGCGUGCGCCACCAUGCCCAGCUUGGGGAUCUUCUUCUUAUGGGUGAGGAAAUGCAGGCUCUGGGAGUUCAGGGGAAUAAGGAGCGGUAGGCUAGGGAUGGGAGCUCACACAGGGCAGGCAUUCAUAUGGUCCUGGCCGGGCAGGGGUGGGGGUGGGAGGGCAAGGCAAGAAGGGCUGAAGCCUAUGUGGAAAGAGUUGGAAUGGAGCAAUGGAAGGGAAGAUAUUCAGAUCCCAACUGGCAAGCAAGAGGGAGCCCCUGAGGGUCUGAGAAGGAGAGUGGUAGGAAGGGCAGUGAGUCUUAGCAGAAAGCUCUCACAGCCUGUAACCUCAGGCAAAGGCCUGAUUCCUGGGCUGCCUUGCUAUGCUCCUUAUGUAAGCACUGUCUGACCCUGCCAGGCAAUGCAGAGAGAGUCAGUUGACAUGCCCACCUGUCCUGGUUCUGUGAUGAGCUGGGUGACCCAGGGCAAGUCACCUUACCAGGGAUGAGCCAGAUAAACAAACAGCUGUUCUAGACAGUAUAGACAACAUCUAAAGCAAGUAUAUAGCAAGUAUAGCAAAUCUGUGCUCUUUCUAGAACCUUCCUUAUAAGGGUCUGCUUCAUUCACCAGUUCAAUGAUGAUUCUUACAGCAAGGGCAAUUAGGGGUUAGGGAUCUUAAGACAAGAUUAAGAUGUGGUACCUCCUCGAAACUAGCUGCUUCUCAAAGCCACCUUAAGGGGAGACUGCAGCCAGUUGAAGGCAGAUCAAGGCUUCUUAGAAGUUUCUCUUUUUACCUGUUACCUGUAACUCCAAGCCAAUGAGCAGGCAAACCAUUACCAGGUUCUGAUUAGUACUGCUUGCAGGUCACCCCAUCUCUAGAACAGUAGCAGGCAACUGGACCUGGGUCAGUAUGGCCACCAGGUGGCGGUCUCCAGAACUUACUCAACCUGCAGAGGUUGCUGGGAAAGUGCCCUCUGUUGUCAUGGAGGAGAGCUGCCACUUAACAACUUAAUGUGGUGAGUCUCAUCUUCAAGCAAAACAAAGAGCUUAGGGAAAGCACAUAGGAGUUAGUGUAGGAGGAGGGACGUCUGGGCAAAGGAAAAUGACAUGACAUGACAUGUUGCCUCAUUCAAUGCAACAGAACUUUCUGGAUUUCCUUCCCUGGACUCUCCCCAGCCCCAGGUCUGCAUUUAUGAUUCUCCUGGAACACCUCCUCAUAACAUAUGCCAUGCUCAAUUUACAUCAUAUGCUUGCUUGUAUCUCUUACAACUGGGAUCACAUCCAUUUCCUCUUGGAAACACUGGUGCCGACACAGGAUCUGCCCAGAGAAGGGAUUAAAGUUCUUUGUUGAGUGAAUGAAACUUACUCUAUAGACAAAUUUAAAACAGAUUUGCUUGGACACCAAUGCCCUGGUGAGAAAAUUCGAGACCAUAUAUACCCUCAUCCUUAGCCUUGGGAAUUGCAUGGGAGAGAUGCAGCUCAGGGUUCCCUAAUGUGACCCACUGAAAGAUGGACUGGCAUUGAAUUCACAUCCAACUCUGCCCCAAAGAUGUUUAUCUUACUUUUAUCACACAGAGUAGCAAGGCAGAAAAGAAAGUGAAUCUGGGCUCAGCUGAGUCUGAAACCCAUCGGAGGAAUGCAUAGUGUCUAUCUAUUUUGUGUUUUACUUCACUCCCAUCUCUAAUAAUGGAGAGGCCUGAGUUUUAGAGUCUGACUGUUGGGGUAAUCAGGCUCGGUCUGCUUGUCUAUCAUCUUUACUCUCUUGUGCUGCCGGAACCUCCACCUUCCUGCUGGAACUCUGGUAGGGAGGAAAGGCAGCAUAGCUGCCCAGAGGCCCAACUUCCUUGCAAUCCAGUCCAGCUGAAGCCAGCCCAGGGACAAGCUCAGAGUCCCUCUUGAAGGAAAUGAUUCAGAAACCACGGUGGCCUGGCAGCCACUGUAAUUCAUAGUACAUCAAUAGGGGAAUUAUGUGUAGGGCUGAGAACACCAAAGCGCUCAUUUCUUUCCUUCAUUCCCUCCUCUCUCUCUCUCUCUCUUUCUCUCCCUCUCCCCCCUCUCACUCUCUCCCUCCCUCUGCCUCCCUCUGCCUCCCUCUGCCUCUCUCUCUCUCUCUCUCUCUCUCUCUCUCUCUCUCUCUCUCUCUCUCUCUCUCUCUCCCCCUCCCUCCUCUUCCUCCUCUUCCUCCUCCCCCGCCUCUUCCUCCUGCUUUUGCCUUUGCCUUUCUCCUUUUGGCUGUAAAUCAAUUCCAAGGCAGCCCAGCACAUGCUUCUCAUUAAUAGCUUGGGCACCACCUUGGAAGAGAAAACAAGACAGAGGAAGACUAGGAUAUAAAGAGACCCACCCUACAGAACGUGUGUACUAGUGUGUGUGUGUGUGUGUGUGUGUGUGUGUGUGUGCACCCUCGUGCAUAUGCGUGAUUUUCAUCACAUUAUGUCAACUCCAAUAUCUCCAAUUUCCAGAAGGAAUGGUCAAGGAGAAAGUUUAGAUUUGGGAUAGAAGUUUGAGCAUGCCACUUCAAUUACUUUUGUCUACUGACCGGUGAAGUGAGACCUAAAAGGGGGUGGAAGUGUCUGUCAGAUGUCCAACUCAGGCACUUUGCAUCUGGCUGCAGAGACUGCCAUUUUAGACUUCAAAUCAUCACAUUUUGGACAAAGCGUGAUUUCUUUCCCCAUGAGUUGUAAAAAUAAGACUUUAUGUCUAGUUUUAUACCCACUGCCUGUUAUUUUUUUUUCUUAUUUUCAAGAGAAGGGAGGAUAGUUCUGUAUGAAGUCAUGCAUAGAGGAGGCACCUGCACAGACAAAAUUGCUUUUGUCUCACGUGAUUGGCUGUCUCGGUUGAGUGACAUGGGUGUCUAUUGGCUUCUGAGUACCUCGCUCUGUUUUUCCUUUCUAUUCCUUAUCUCCUGCAUUUCUGUCUCCUACCUGGUGCUCUGUCCUUGGCCCCUUCUCUUCACACAUCUGAGUUCAUGGGUUCAAGAGGUACCAGUCAGUCCAAGGUUUCUACAACUCUUCUGUAGUCUGCUCACCUUCUCUGAGGGACAGAUGUGGACACACCCCUGCACCAGCAGCAUUUUCUUGGGGACCACAAAUGGAAUUUAUCAUUUGCCGUAAGGCUUGCUGAUUACUUGGGUUUGUUGCUAAGCAGCCACACAUUCAGUAUAGUGAGGGUUUGAAACAUCAUAGAAUUGCUGGAAUCUUGAAGAUCUGGAAGGGCCUGAGAUGGCAUAGUGCCAUGACUAAGUUACUUAACUCUCUGAUUUCUUCAUCUGCAAAAUGGAGACAGCAAAAAGAAUCUAUCUCUAAAGGCUCUCAUCAAGAGCAAAUAAGUAGAUAUAACACCAUUAGGAGAGAGCCUGGCACACAGAACAGGCUCAGGUGAUGCUGAGCCUUUUUCAAGAUGCAUCUUGGCACACCUGCUUGCCCCAUACUUUCUCACCAUUUCCCAAAGACAACAGUCAAUUGGCCUCAGGAUAUUCCCCUGGCUUAGGAUGCUCUCCAUACAUCUAGGAACAAAUUCUUACUAAGUGCUGAGGUAGAGGCCAGCUAUAGGUUCCCUUAGAAGGGGCUAGCGGCUCCCUUUUGGUUCUCGGGGAGCAUUAUGUUACUGCCAAGUGGCUGAUAGAACUGCAUCCCAGAUCCCAGUCACCACUUCUCCAGCAUCAGCAUCAAAAUCCACCUCUAUACACUUGCUGAGAAGUCUGUGCUGGCUUGGACCAUGGUGCUUUAUUUUAUCUGCUCAUUCUUAUUGGAAGAGCCCCCAAUCUCUCUCUCCCCCUCCCCUUCCCUGCCCCUCCCCCCAAUUCUGUGCGAGUGUGUGCUCGCACACACACAUAUGGUCUUUGGACAAUCUUGGUUGUCAUUCUUCAGGCACUUCCCACAGUUUAUGUGAGGAAAGGUCUCUCACUGGCCAGGAACUUCUUCAAGUAAGCCCAGCUAGCUGACUAGCUAACUUCUAGGGAUCCACCUAUCUCUACUGCCCCGUCUCACCAUUACUGGCUUACAAAUUUAUACCAUGACACUUGGAUUUGUAUGUGGGAUCUGGGAAUUGAACUCCUGUCAUCUUGCUUCCAAGGCAAGCACUUUGCCAACUGAGGAAUAUUUCUAGUGUGGAGGGCCUUCCUCCUUUGGGGGAACUUUCUCUUCUGAAAAUACUUCCUGGGAGUCCAAGGCUAGGUUACUUGUACCUUCUUAAUAUCUCCAAAAUGUCUUCCAUGAGAUUCUGUGGCAUUCUGUCUUCACUGUUCCACUAGCUGUUCUCUCCAUGGGACUCCAGGAGUUCUCUCACGACAGACACAUUUUAGCCAGUGCUUAGAAAUGACGAGCAUAAGUGGACAGGAGAACUUCAUGUUCCAAGAGCUCUCUCUCGAUAGACUAUGAGCUUCUUGAAUGAAUGAAUCAAAUGAGUGGGGUGGAAACUACCUCAGAAAAGUCUCAGUGGGCUAAGUGUCAGGCAGACUUGGCCUUAUAGUAAUAUUCACUCUACAAUGCGUCAUGAGCACCAUAACUUGUAGUGGGCACUGGCUCAGUAACUGAGCACAAUGAGACUUACGAUCUAGGGUGGAAGGUGAAAUUGACCCUGGGGAUGGGAGGUAGUAGUGAGUCCUGUGGCUGUGAGAAGGCUAGGCUGACUCCAUGAUAGGCUUCACACUGGCAGUUUAGGAGACUAGGCCUAAGAACUGGGCAAGUUCAGGCAAGUCCAGGCAAGUCAGUUACUAGAAAACAAAACAAACCAAAACAACAACAAAAACCCACCACCACCACAACAACAAAACACAACAACAACAAAAUCAACCCCAUUCCCCAGAUCUCUCAGCAACAGUUUACAGAUACCAGGCCCCAUAAUGGCUCUGGAAUGCCUAGAGAUAGAGUAAGUUAAAGUCCACCUACCCUGGUGUACUUUAAAUCAGGCCUGCGAGUUCACUUGGUUGUUUCUCUAUCUUGGUCACGGGAGACCCCAGCAUGCUGAACUACUGUAGAAGAAAACUAUUUUGAAUCUGGGGUAUCAUUCUUCAUCGAAUCACAGACCCUCCCAGUUGUGUCUACAGAGGGACAUUGGCAGCAGGGCUAGGGAGUAGCCCACGCCACUGUGCAGGGUUUCUGUGCUCUGAUGGCCCUAGGCUUGACUGAAUGCUUUGUUGUUGAAAAUUCUUAAAUAUGCUUACUUGUGUAUUCUGAGGACUGAUGGUUCAGUGGAUCAUGCAUGCAGGCAGAGGAGACAUGAACAAGAUGCGUGUCUGACGCUUAAGCAUAGAAGUCCAUUGGACUGGCAUUGUGGUGUGUGGGAGACUAGGCUGACCUCAAGCAAGUCCUAGGCAAGUGGGCUAGGCUACAGCUAAGGAAGUAGGAGUGCUGACAGCAGUGAGAGUCAUGCUGUCUGCUAGAACAAACUCGCUUCAGAUGCAAGAACAGCGCCUGAAGAAAAACAAAGGACCCAAAAGCCCACUCAUCAUUCUUUCUAGCUAACACAGUGUGUGAACAUAAAAGCAGAGAUUGUUGUUAAGAUGGAUGGUCCAAAAGAAGUGGAAUUAAUACAGCUGACUCAGUUUUGUGAUGAUAUUUCUUCAGUUCUGAUGCCUUCUGCCAGAAACCCCAGCCUGGGAGUUGCAAGUAGGAAUCCACACGGAGUACACUGUAGCUGUCUUCAGACAUAUACCAGAAAUGUGCAUCGGAUCCCAUUACAGAUGGUUGUGAGCCACCAUGUGGUUGCUGGGAGUUGAACUCAGGACCUCUGGAAGAGCAGUCAGUACUCAGAACUGAUGAACCAUCUCUUCAGCCCCCUGCCUCCACAUCUCAAGUGCUGGGAUGAUAGGAAUGUGCCACUGAGUUUGGUUUUAUGUGAUGCUGGAGCUUGAACUCAGGGCUUUUUGCAUUCAAGGCAACUUCUUUAGCAACAGAACCACCUCUUCAGACCUUCCUAUACUUCUUCAACAGUGUGUCUCAUGUCUCUUGUCUCAGUCUGUUUCUCUGCUAUGCACACUGAUCGUGCCACGAGACUCCACUGCCUCCACCUCCCGAGUGCUGGGAUGAUAGGCUUGCCCCACUGGAUGCAGUAAUUUCCAGCUUUCCCAUUUCUACGAUGUUUCCCUAGCAUAUCCUCACCAGCCCCAUGAGAAUGCAACUUCCAGAAGUUGUGGCUGACACCCGUACCAUUGGAUUCAGUAAAGGGCUAAGCUUACAACUUUUUUUGUGUCUUCUUAGACCUCCUGUGUCUAAGAACCCCCGAUUCAAGGGCUCACGCUGGUAUUCACCACAUUCAGUACAGCCAUAGAGCAUAGAGACAUUUCACAAAAUUGGCUGUCAUAGAUGUCAAUGAACCAGAAGACACUUGAGUCCUGAUGUCUUCACGGAGCGGUGCCAUCAGGCUACCUCCAGCUGGUAUCACUGCUUUGGGUCGAUUUUACUAAUUAAUAAACAUCAUCUUGGUUUCUCAGAAGAA